rnacentral:rRNA from 1 species
UACGAGGGGGGCGAGCGUUGUUCGGAAUUAUUGGGCGUAAAGGGCGCGUAGGCGGUCGGAUAAGUCUUGUGUGAAAUCUUCGGGCUCAACUCGAAGUCUGCACAGGAAACUAUCUGGCUUGAGUGUGGGAGAGGUGAGUGGAAUUCCUGGUGUAGCGGUGAAAUGCGUAGAUAUCAGGAGGAACACCUGUGGCGAAAGCGGCUCACUGGACCAUAACUGACGCUGAUGCACGAAAGCUAGGGGAGCAAACAGG